rnacentral:rRNA from 1 species
UACAGAGGGUGCGAACGUUGUUCGGAAUUACUGGGCAUAAAGCGCGCGUAGGCGGCUACGUAAGUGUCUUGUGAAAUCCCACGGCUCACCCGUGUGAAUUGUGAGGCAUACUGCGCAGCUAGAGUGUGGUAGGGGAGAGCGGAACUCCUGGUGGAGCGGUGAAAUGCGUAGAUAUCAGGAGGAACACCGGCGGCGAAGGCGGCUCUCUGGUCCACUACUGACGCUGAGGUGCGAAAGCUAGGGUAGCGAACGGG